rnacentral:rRNA from 1 species
AACGAACGCUGGCGGCAGGCUUAACACAUGCAAGUCGAACGGUUGUAGCAAUACAGCAGUGGCAGACGGGUGAGUAACACGUGGGAACCUUCCUAGGGGUACGGAACAACUCAGGGAAACUUGAGCUAAUACCGUAUACGUCCGUGAGGAGAAAGAUUUAUCGCCCUUAGACGGGCCCGCGUCGGAUUAGCUAGUUGGUGGGGUAACGGCCUACCAAGGCAACGAUCCGUAGCUGAUCUUAGAGAAGGAUCAGCCACACCGUGACUGAGACACGGCCCAGACUCCUACGGGAGGCAGCAGUGGGGACUCUUGGACAGUGGGCGCCAGCCUGAUCCAGCCAUCCCGCGUGAGUGAAGAAGGUCUUCGGAUUGUAAGGCUCUUUUGCCAGGGACGAUAAUGACGGUACCUGGAGAAUAAGCCCCGGCAAACUUCGUGCCAGCAGCCGCCGUAA